rnacentral:rRNA from 1 species
ACAUGCAAGUCGAGGGGCAGCAUGGUCUUAGCUUGCUAAGGCCGAUGGCGACCGGCGCACGGGUGAGUAACACGUAUCCAACCUGCCGUCUACUCUUGGACAGCCUUCUGAAAGGAAGAUUAAUACAAGAUGGCAUCAUGAGUUCACAUGUUCACAUGAUUAAAGGUAUUCCGGUAGACGAUGGGGAUGCGUUCCAUUAGAUAGUAGGCGGGGUAACGGCCCACCUAGUCUUCGAUGGAUAGGGGUUCUGAGAGGAAGGUCCCCCACAUUGGAACUGAGACACGGUCCAAACUCCUACGGGAGGCAGCAGUGAGGAAUAUUGGUCAAUGGGCGAGAGCCUGAACCAGCCAAGUAGCGUGAAGGAUGACUGCCCUAUGGGUUGUAAACUUCUUUUAUAAAGGAAUAAAGUCGGGUAUGUAUACCCGUUUGCAUGUACUUUAUGAAUAAGGAUCGGCUAACUCCGUGCCAGCAGCCGCGGUAAUACGGAGGAUCCGAGCGUUAUCCGGAUUUAUUGGGUUUAAAGGGAGCGUAGAUGGAUGUUUAAGUCAGUUGUGAAAGUUUGCGGCUCAACCGUAAAAUUGCAGUUGAUACUGGAUAUCUUGAGUGCAGUUGAGGCAGGCGGAAUUCGUGGUGUAGCGGUGAAAUGCUUAGAUAUCACGAAGAACUCCGAUUGC